rnacentral:rRNA from 1 species
GGACCCGCACAACCUGUGGAGCGUGUGGUUUAAUUCGAUACAAAGCGAAAAACCUUACCAGGGUUUGACAUCAUACCGUUUUAUACUUUUGGAAACAUUAGUAGAUCCGUAAGGAUGGUAUGACAGGUGCUGCAUGGCUGUCGUCAGCUCGUGCCGUGAGGUGUUCCCUUAAGUGGGGAAACGAGCGCAACCCCCAUGAAAUGUUAAAUAUUCAUUUCAGACUGCCCUGUUUUUACAGGGAGGAAGGAGGGGCAGAUGUCAAGUCAGCAUGGCCCUUAUACCCUGGGUUACACACACACUACAAUGGCGAAAAACAACGAGUUGCAAGCUGGUAACAGCAAGCUAAUCUCUCAAAUUUCGCCUCAGUUCAGAUUGAGGUCUGCAACCCGACCUCAUGAAGUCGGAAUAGGUAGUAAUCGCGGAUCAGCAUGCCGCGGUGAAUACGUUCUCGGGUCUU